rnacentral:rRNA from 1 species
GAUGAACGCUGGCGGCGUGCCUAAUACAUGCAAGUCGAGCGAACAGAUGAGGAGCUUGCUCCUCUGACGUUAGCGGCGGACGGGUGAGUAACACGUGGAUAACCUACCUAUAAGACUGGGAUAACUUCGGGAAACCGGAGCUAAUACCGGAUAAUAUAUUGAACCGCAUGGUUCAAUAGUGAAAGACGGUUUUGCUGUCACUUAUAGAUGGAUCCGCGCCGCAUUAGCUAGUUGGUAAGGUAACGGCUUACCAAGGCAACGAUGCGUAGCCGACCUGAGAGGGGGAUCGGCCACACGGGAACUGAGAAACGGUCAAGACUCCUAGGGGAGGAAGAAGUAGGAAAUCUUCGGAAAUGGGCGAAGCCUGACGGAGCAACGCCGCGUGAGUGAUGAAGGUCUUCGGAUCGUAAAACUCUGUUAUUAGGGAAGAACAAAUGUGUAAGUAACUAUGCACGUCUUGACGGUACCUAAUCAGAAAGCCACGGCUAACUACGUG